rnacentral:misc_RNA from 1 species
AUUUCGAUUUGGUUUCGGACGUACUAAAGAGAGUUACCUCUGUUUCGGUUCUUGACGCAUUUCGAUCAACAUGUUCAUUCAAAAAUACCCGAAGGCAUUGAAAACUCCAAAACAGACUACAAGUAGUCAGUUCACGGGACACAAAGCGUUUCCGCUCUGUUGUCAAGUAGUCUAUUGUUUCCAACGGACUACAGGACAGAAAGUGUGGUAAUGAUCCUUCCGCAGGUUCACCUACGGAAA